rnacentral:rRNA from 1 species
UACGGGGGGAGCAAGCGUUGUUCGGAUUUACUGGGUGUAAAGGGCGCGUAGGCGGUCAGCACAAGUCAGUUGUGAAAUCUCCGAGCUUAACUCGGAAAGGUCAACUGAUACUGUGCGACUAGAGUGCGGAAGGGGCAACUGGAAUUCUUGGUGUAGCGGUGAAAUGCGUAGAUAUCAAGAGGAACACCGGUGGCGAAGGCGGGUCUCUGGGCCGAUACUGACGCUGAGGAGCGAAAGCGUGGGGAGCGAACAGG